GGAACUAGAGGGCGGAAAUGAGACAAAUGAACUUGAAAAUACCCCCUGCCUCAAAAGCUUUGGCAGACUGGGUCAGUCCCACAGUUAAUUUUAGACAUUCUCUUUCAGAAACUGGAAUGCAGGAAGAGUGGAAGAGAUAGGUGAGUGGAUUAGAGGAACAGCAAAUGAAUGAGAUGGAGGAAAUUCGCAUGUACUUAUUAAAAAUGGGCUCAGUCUGGUUGAAAAUUCAAAGAAACUGAUUGCUGUUGCUUUGCAUUGCAAUGGGAGAAUGAGGUUGAGGAGUGGAGGUGGGCGGGAGGGGGGGGAGAGAAACCUCAGUCUACACUCUCCUGUUGUACUCCAAGCCAAUUAGAUUACACAACCAAAUGAAGUCAAUUGCUGAUGAGAACAAAAUGCUAUUGUUUGAUCUGGGUUCAGAGCAGCCCCCUCUGUCUGUUAGCACAAGUUAAUGAAGGCCGACAGCACUGCAGAUAUGAAGAGCACAGCUUAGUGCAGCUGGGACUGCAAGACCACCCUGGGUCUCUGUGCUGCCAGAGAGACAACCUCUCCCUGAAUCUGGAAUCAAUGGCUUCUGAACAAGAAGAGCAGGAUAUGCCCUUUCAAAACAUUCCUCCUUUCUCAACGCAAAACUGUCUCUCUGUGCUUUUUGGAGACAGCAGUGGUGUGCUAAUUUAUUUUCAAUGUUGCCAGUAUUAAAAGGCAAGCUAAUGAACUGCAUUUAGGAGUUGGGAUCAGUUUGAGGAAAAUGAUUUUUCAGUAUCAAAUGGUGCCUUCCCUUCAAUGUUUUUCUUUUCUUUUCCAUUUUUUAGGCUGCAAGGCAGUGACUGUCCCAAGGACACUCUGUAAACUUCACAGCCAAGUGCAGAUUUGAGCCCUGGUCUCCCAGGUCUUAGUAUGACACUAACCACUGCAUGAAACUGGCUCUCUGAGUUGCAUUUAUCUAUUGGCUGCUUAGUUACAAGAUGUGUGUGUGUAGGAUUAUUGUUUUGCUCUGUUCUUCUUUUUAUUAUACAUGGUAUUUUGUGUUUUUAAUCUUUUGAACCGCCC